AAGGAGAUGCCUCUGCUUCUCGGAGAAAGAAUUUAAAUGGCCCUGUGAAGGUCCCGAGGACCCAGAUAUGGGUUGGUUUGAAAAGGCAGGAGCAGACGGAAAGAAAUUGGACUGGAGCUGUGGCAGCGAUUGGGACAGGAGCAGUGGUUCCAGCUGCUGAGAACGAAGCAGAAGGCAGAGAUAAAGCAACAGGGUCAGCCCAUGUGUCUGCAAGACUUUCUGCUGGAGAGGCUGGAGAAGGGUGAAAAACCUGAGGCUUGAAAAUAUUAAGGAAUUUGCCUAUGGCCACCAGACAGAAUGUGUUAUUACAAAAUCAUCACAUGAAGAAGUGAUUAAAGAAUAUGUACCUAAAAAUGGAAUAAAUCUAAAUGCAAUAUAGUAUCCUGGAUUGGAUUCCAGAAAAGACAAAGGACCUAAGUGGAAAA